GAGAGCCGGAUGCGGGAAAUCCGCCAGUCCGGUUCGGAGGGAGGGGAAGCGCAAAUCAAUGCGCUUUCCCUACCCCUAU
rfam:Lentisphaerae bacterium GWF2_50_93 gwf2_scaffold_3794, whole genome shotgun sequence.